rnacentral:lncRNA from 1 species
UGGCAAAUGACAGUAGUGGCUCAAAUCAACCUUUUCCUAUCAAACCACUUAGUGAAUCAAAAAACCGCUUGUUGGACAGUGAAUCUCAGUGGCUGGAGAAUGGAGCUGAAGAAGGCAUCGUCAAAUCAGGGACAAAUAACCAUGUAACAGUGGCAAUAGAAAAUUGAGUACCACUUGUUCAUAACUAACCAUUUGAAUAAGAGCAAGGUGUAUGAAAACAUUAUAGACUGGUAUUUUCAAUUUUCAUUUGCAAGAAAAUGAUCAGUGGAAUGAAAUAACUGAAGUAUAACAGAAGAUAUAUUUUUUAAAACGGAAAGCCUUUGUACAGUUCCUGGGAUUCACAGAAGCACUACUCCAGAGCAGAAUGAUGCCUUAAUCUUAAGUGUCCAUUUGUGCAGCAUUGACUUAGAGCUACAAAAGUUGCAUAAAGAAGCAAGGAAUUGUACUUGUAUUAAAAGAUGAAGAAAGCUAUUAGGUAUAUUUGUACAUGACUGCAAAUGAGUCUAUGCC